rnacentral:rRNA from 1 species
GACGAACCGUGCGAACGUUGUUCGGAAUCACUGGGCUUAAAGGGCGCGUAGGCGGGCUAUCAAGUCCGGGGUGAAAUCCUCCAGCUCAACUGGAGAACUGCCUCGGAUACUGAUGGUCUCGAGGAGGAUAGGGGCACACGGAACUGUGGGUGGAGCGGUGAAAUGCGUUGAUAUCCAUAGGAACUCCGGUGGCGAAAGCGGUGUGCUGGAUCCUUUCUGACGCUGAGGCGCGAAAGCCAGGGGAGCAAACGGG